rnacentral:rRNA from 1 species
UACGGAGGGUGCAAGCGUUAUCCGGAUUUACUGGGUUUAAAGGGUGCGUAGGUGGGUAGGAAAGUCAGUGGUGAAAUCUUCAAGCUUAACUUGGAAACUGCCAUUGAUACUAUUUAUCUUGAAUACUUUGGAGGUAAGCGGAAUAUGUCAUGUAGCGGUCAAAUGCUUAGAUAUGACAUAGAACACCAAUUGCGAAGGCAGCUCACUACGGGAUUAUUGACACUGAGGCACGAAAGCGUGGGGAUCAAACAGG